GCUCAGGACGAACGCUGGCGGCGUGCCUAAUACAUGCAAGUCGAGCGGACCGACGGGAGCUUGCUCCCUUAGGUCAGCGGCGGACGGGUGAGUAACACGUGGGUAACCUGCCUGUAAGACUGGGAUAACUCCGGGAAACCGGGGCUAAUACCGGAUGCUUGAUUGAACCGCAUGGUUCAAUCAUAAAAGGUGGCUUUUAGCUACCACUUACAGAUGGACCCGCGGCGCAUUAGCUAGUUGGUGAGGUAACGGCUCACCAAGGCGACGAUGCGUAGCCGACCUGAGAGGGUGAUCGGCCACACUGGGACUGAGACACGGCCCAGACUCCUACGGGAGGCAGCAGUAGGGAAUCUUCCGCAAUGGACGAAAGUCUGACGGAGCAACGCCGCGUGAGUGAUGAAGGUUUUCGGAUCGUAAAACUCUGUUGUUAGGGAAGAACAAGUACCGUUCGAAUAGGGCGGCACCUUGACGGUACCUAACCAGAAAGCCACGGCUAACUACGUGCCAGCAGCCGCGGUAAUACGUAGGUGGCAAGCGUUGUCCGGAAUUAUUGGGCGUAAAGCGCGCGCAGGCGGUUUCUUAAGUCUGAUGUGAAAGCCCCCGGCUCAACCGGGGAGGGUCAUUGGAAACUGGGGAACUUGAGUGCAGAAGAGGAGAGUGGAAUUCCACGUGUAGCGGUGAAAUGCGUAGAGAUGUGGAGGAACACCAGUGGCGAAGGCGACUCUCUGGUCUGUAACUGACGCUGAGGCGCGAAAGCGUGGGGAGCGAACAGGAUUAGAUACCCUGGUAGUCCACGCCGUAAACGAUGAGUGCUAAGUGUUAGAGGGUUUCCGCCCUUUAGUGCUGCAGCAAACGCAUUAAGCACUCCGCCUGGGGAGUACGGUCGCAAGACUGAAACUCAAAGGAAUUGACGGGGGCCCGCACAAGCGGUGGAGCAUGUGGUUUAAUUCGAAGCAACGCGAAGAACCCUUACCAGGUCUUGACAUCCUCUGACACCCCUAGAGAUAGGGCUUCCCCUUCGGGGGCAGAG
rnacentral:rRNA from 1 species